GCAAACUUGGUCAUUUAGAGGAAGUAAAAGUCGUAACAAGGUUUCCGUAGGUGAACCUGCGGAAGGAUCAUUACUGAAUUCAUGAAGGGGUUGUAGCUGGCUUUGGAGCAUGUGCACGCCCUUUCAAAUUCAUCUUAAACCACUUGUGCACUUCUGUAGACUAUGAUAGCUCUCAGUGGUAAAACGCUGGAUAAGAGAGACUGCGACUUAGCUGUCUUUCGAUUUCAUAGUCUAUGUUUUAUAUCAUAUACUAAAGUCCUAGAAUGUUUAUUGUAAUGGGUCUUAGUUGACCUAUAGAACUUAAUACAACUUUCAACAACGGAUCUCUUGGCUCUCGCAUCGAUGAAGAACGCAGC
rnacentral:misc_RNA from 1 species